CCCUUUGUUGUUAAAACUACCUUGUUGCUUUGGCGGGACCGCUCGGUCUCGAGCCGCUGGGGAUUCGUCCCAGGCGAGCGCCCGCCAGAGUUAAACCAAACUCUUGUUAUUAAACCGGUCGUCUGAGUUAAAAUUUUGAAUAAAUCAAAACUUUCAACAACGGAUCUCUUGGUUCUCGCAUCGAUGAAGAACGCAGCGAAAUGCGAUAAGUAAUGUGAAUUGCAGAAUUCAGUGAAUCAUCGAAUCUUUGAACGCACAUUGCGCCCCUUGGUAUUCCGAGGGGCAUGCCUGUUCGAGCGUCAUUACACCACUCAAGCUAUGCUUGGUAUUGGGUGCCGUCCUUAGUUGGGCGCGCCUUAAAGACCUCGGCGAGGCCUCACCGGCUUUAGGCGUAGUAGAAUUUAUUCGAACGUCUGUCAAAGGAGAGGACUUCUGCCGACUGAAACCUUUUAUUUUUCUAGGUUGACCUCGGAUCAGGUAGGGAUACCCGCUGAACUUAAGCAUAUCAAUAAGCGGAGGAAAAGAAACCAACAGGGAUUGCCCUAGUAACGGCGAGUGAAGCGGCAACAGCUCAAAUUUGAAAGCUGGCCUUCGGGUCCGCAUUGUAAUUUGUAGAGGAUGCUUUGGGUGAAACGCCAGUCUAAGUUCCUUGGAACAGGACGUCAUAGAGGGUGAGAAUCCCGUAUGUGACUGGAAAUGUUAACCUAUGUAAAGCUCCUUC
rnacentral:rRNA from 1 species